UGACGAGUUUGAUCCUGGCUCAGAGUGAACGCUGGCGGCGUGCCUAACACAUGCAAGUCGAACGAUGAUGAAAGAGCUUGCUCUUUCUGAUUAGUGGCGCACGGGUGAGUAUACCAUAGAUAAUGUACCUCUUAGUUUGGGAUAGCCACUGGAAACGGUGAUUAAUACCAGAUACUCCUUCUCGUUAUAAGACGAGUUCGGGAAAGUUUUUUCGCUAAGAGAUCAGUCUAUGUCCUAUCAGCUAGUUGGUGAGGUAAUGGCUCACCAAGGCUAUGACGGGUUAUCUGGUUUGAGAGGAUGAUCAGACACACUGGAACUGAGACACGGUCCAGA
rnacentral:rRNA from 1 species